rnacentral:piRNA from 1 species
CAAACCACACUGUGGUGUUAG